CUCGAGUCCCGACCUCCUUUGGAGAACGUGCUCCGAAGACUCCAGAAAGAUGUCUUCUCAACAGCAGCAGUGCAAGCAGCCCUGCCAGCCCCCUCCUGUGUGCCCACCUAAGUGCCCAGAGCCGUGCCCGCCCCCAAAAUGCCCUGAGCCGUGCCCACCCCCACAGAGGCAGCAGAAAUGCCCUCCUGUGCAACCUCCUCCACCAUGCCAGCAGAAGUGCCCGCCCAAGAGCAAGUAACAGCUUCAGCAGCAUCAGGAUCUGGAAAAGAGAAGGACCAUUGGCUCGCCUGCUUCCACAGCUCCACCUUCACCUUCUCUUCCGAGCCUAUCAUGGUGGCAGAAGCGGCUCCUCCACCCUUCAGCCUGGAAAAUGCCUGUGUGACCCCUGACAGCAAAAGGGUUCCUUCCUGAGGGAGCUGAGGAAGGGCAUCCUCAGCUGUGCCAGCAUCCCAGAGCUUCAGGAGGAAGAGCAGCAGCUCUCUUCCUGGGUGCCAGCAGGGGAGGCUCUUGAUGUCUUCUGUGUCUGUCUGUCCCCUGGGCAGGGGUUUGUAUCACCUGGCAAUUGUUCCUUUUCUUCCAUUUCCUGAAUAAAGUGCCAUUUUGUGGG
rnacentral:lncRNA from 1 species